rnacentral:rRNA from 1 species
UACGUAGGGUGCAAGCGUUGUCCGGAAUUAUUGGGCGUAAAGAGCUCGUAGGCGGUUUGUCGCGUCUGCUGUGAAAACUCGGGGCUUAACUCCGGGCCUGCAGUGGGUACGGGCAGACUAGAGUGCGGUAGGGGAGACUGGAAUUCCUGGUGUAGCGGUGAAAUGCGCAGAUAUCAGGAGGAACACCAAUGGCGAAGGCAGCUCGCUGGGACGUGACUGACGCUGAGACGCGAAAGCGUGGGGGAGCAAACAGG